UACGGAGGAUCCGAGCGUUAUCCGGAUUUAUUGGGUUUAAAGGGAGCGUAGGCGGGUUGUUAAGGUCAGUUGUGAAAGUUUGCGGCUCAACCGUCAAAAUUGCAGGUUGAUACUGGCAUCCUUGAGUACAGUAGAGGUAGGCGGAAUUCGUGGGUGUAGCGGUGAAAUGCUUAGAUAUCACGAAGAACUCCGAUUGCGAAGGCAGCCUGCUGGACUGUAACUUGACGCUGAUGCUCGAAAGUGUGGGAUGAUCAACAGG
rnacentral:rRNA from 1 species